rnacentral:tRNA from 1 species
GGCUGGUUAGCUCAGUCAGUUGAGUGUGGCGCUAGCAACACUAAGGUCGUGGGUUCAAUUCCCGUUCGGUCCG